rnacentral:rRNA from 1 species
AACGAACGCUGGCGGCAUGCCUAACACAUGCAAGUCGAACGAGACCUUCGGGUCUAGUGGCGCACGGGUGCGUAACGCGUGGGAAUCUGCCUUUCGGUUCGGAAUAACUCGGGGAAACCCGUGCUAAUACCGGAUGAUGUCGCAAGACCAAAGAUUUAUCGCCGAAAGAUGAGCCCGCGUAGGAUUAGCUAGUUGGUGAGGUAAAGGCUCACCAAGGCGACGAUCCUUAGCUGGUCUGAGAGGAUGAUCAGCCACACUGGGACUGAGACACGGCCCAGACUCCUACGGGAGGCAGCAGUGGGGAAUAUUGGACAAUGGGCGAAAGCCUGAUCCAGCAAUGCCGCGUGAGUGAUGAAGGCCCUAGGGUUGUAAAGCUCUUUUACCCGGGAUGAUAAUGACAGUACCGGGAGAAUAAGCCCCGGCUAACUCCGUGCCAGCAGCCGCAGUAAGAC